AUGGCAGUGGGCACCAAUGGGUUAAUCCCCCCUGCCGUGAGGAAGGUACAGGAAAUGACACAUUAUAAAAGACUUCCCCUUCCCCCAGCGCCCCAUCUCUUCUCUUCCUGUCGUGCAAACCCCCGUUACCAGCAGAGUAGCUCUCCUCUGUCUGAUGCUCCUGCAGCCGAGAUCUUUAUCUUUUGUGUGCGCAGAGAGAAGCCGGCGGGCUUAUGGCCAUCCGUUGCCUGCAGCGCAGUAAGCCGCAAUGCCGAUCCUUUUGGCGAGGCGCAUGCGCGUUAAGACGCUGAGCGCCCCUGUCUACAACGCUGGUGGUGAAAUGCGCGAACCUCCGGGUAUGUUUUAAAGGGAUGGUUGGCGCCAAAUUUGAAAUUUAAAUGGUGUGGAAUAUUUGACCAAAACUGAUCCUGGGUGUAAGUUAUUAUCCAUUGGGUUUAUUUUACGGAUGGAGCUUUAGGUUGCUUGAAUUUUAACCUGUGUGUGUGUAAUGUAUUUUACAGGCUGUCUGUAAUGAGUCUCAGACUAGCACACUCUGGCUCCAGGGGGUAAGCUCUAUAACUUAUGAGAGCAUGGGACCAGUACACCAGAGUGUGUUUGUUCAUUUGUCUCCCCUGGUAUUGAGACUGGGAGGAGAUUGGGUAAGUCUCGCAUCAGAGCUGUCACAGAAGGUUAUGAUAUUCAUCCUGCAUUGUGCUACUUAAGUGUAGUUGUUUGUUCUCGUCGGAAACUGGGAAAAUAAUUCAUCAAGAAAUUUAUACGUUGUUGUGCAACUAUACAUUUAUACGUUUAUCAGGUAAGUGAAAAGUUUUCAACAUCAACAGAGGAGUUUGCAGUCUAAUCACCUGCUGAUUUGCGAUUGAUCUCCAACCUUGGGGAAAUUGUAAUUAUUUCUGCACAACUUCAUGGAGCAGAUAAGCUGUAUACCUAUUUGAGGGAGAAGCUCCUAUUGUGAGGAGAGGUUGGUGCAGAUUAAUUGCCUUCCAGCUGUAAUGGCUUGAUUGGAUUCUGAGCCCGUCAGGUUCCUCAGGUGCUGCUGAGUGUAAUGGGCUCUGCUUAUAUCAGUGAGGUACCCGAACACCUCAGAGGCCUGCCAGAUGCAAGCUUAUCUUGGAUUAAGUGAUUCAUUUAUGGCUGGUAAGCCUAUGUAUUCAAACAUUGGGACACGCAUAGUGUAUUGCCUCCCAAAUAGCAUUGGGCUCCACAUGCACAGCCUCUAUUUAAGCCUGUUACAUGGAUAUGGCUUAUGGGAAGUUGUCUGGGGAAGGCACUACUUUGAGUUCAGAUAUUCUCUGUCGAUACUGGGAUUCUUCCUGAUGUCAUUUUGUGUGUUGAUACAACUUAUUAAAUGUUAACCUGUGCUAUGAGGUUAUAGCCAUACAGUAUUAGUCCUGAUGACACUUCUGCAGGACUACUGAUAUAUAGUCAGCAUUUGCUGCAACUGUUCCAGAUUUGGGGCUAUUGCUAUAUAGCCAUUCUACAGGUUGAUAUUAUGUGGGGCUAAUGAUAUAUAGCCUUUCUGCAGGUUAAUACUACGUGGGGCUGCUGAUAUAUAGCCUUUCUGUAGGUUAAUACUAAGUGGGGCUAUUACUAUAUAGCCUUUUCUGCAGGUUAAUACUGAGUGGGGCUACUGAUAUAUAGCCAGUCUGUAGGGUAAUACUAAGUGCACAUCUGUAGUUUAUUUGUACUGCAGCUGCCCCAAGUUAGGGCUAUCACUAUAUAGUAUUAUACUAUACUGCAAUUGUAGUAGAUGCAGUACUACCAUUACGUAGCCAUUUAGCUGGUGACCUGCGGCCCGAAUGAACCUCAUCUUGAUAGAUCUGGGAAGCUAAGCGGGGCUUGGAAAGGAGACCCCUGCAUACAACAGUUCUAUUGCAGUGCAGUCUCCUGCAGUUUCUUUGACAACCAUAUUUAAAUGUCUGAAAUUAACCAGUAUAAUUAAGAUAUAGUCAUUCACAAUAUUGAUAUCAAAUGUAGUACAGUUCAUUAUGACUAUUGCAUCUUUUGUGUUUUUGUCAUGUAGCAUAAACCUGGAAACCCGUUCUGUAUAUUCUGUUGCAUUGUUGGCAGCUAAACAGCAAGGAGGUCAACUUUCAAGGUAAAAUUGCAAACUUCGGCAUGCUGAGCACAUCGACUGUGAGGGUUUGGCCCCUGUGCUUCAAUCCCUCCCAGGUCCUGCCUUUUUGAUAUAGCUAUUCAGCACAUAGAUACUAUGUGCAUUCCUACAAUUCAUUGUAUUCCACAUUGCAAUUUCGGUAGUUUCCAGUACUAUCUGGAUAUAGCUAUGCAGCACAUUAAAACAAAGUGUCUGUAGUUCAACUCAUGCAGCCAUUGGUAUUCAGUGUAAAAUAUUCAUGCAGUAUAUUAAUACAGUAAUUCAACAGUGCAUACUGCCUUCUGUAACCACUUAGUAUGGUUCAGUGCAGUCAUCAUGAUGCACCAGUCAGUUCAUUGUCGCUCAUCUCACCCCCAUAUUGCAACAUAUUCAUGGGGGACAUUGCAGCUCUCUUUUCGGGUUUACCUCUCUUUAAAUGAUACCGGUUACCAUACAUUUAUUUCAUUCUUUGUUUCUCUGCAGGUUAUCUUAUAACGGUUAAGCACGGUUAUGUUCCACUUAUCUCAUAUAGUGGGCCAGUUAUUUCUCAAGCAGCAUGUUCGAAGGCCAGAUUAAAUUAAAAUGUUUUAUGUCGAAGCCUUCAAGCAAUCUGGGCACGAUAGAGGGCAUCUGAGGGGCUACAUCCAGCCGCGAGCUUCCAGUAGCACUGGUUAAGAAUCUCUAUUCUAAUAGUGUUUUAUCUACAGCGGUGCAUCCUUUGUGGAUCAUUUUUCAUAUCACAGAUGUUUAAUGUUAGUUUCUAAGUACCAUAUUUUAUUAUCUUGUAAUAACUAAAGUAUAUUGAUACUGGUAUAACACUAGUUUCGAGAUAUAUCAAUAUUGAGUAGUUGACAUUAGUUGUCAUUACUAUGGUACAAGUAUCCAGUGUAUAAUUGCUGGGCACAUUUCUGCAGUUUACUAACCUGCUAGUUACCAAGGUAUUCAAUAAUCUGGUAAUCACUACAGUUAUAUUGCUCAUCAGCGUUCCUGUAGUCUGCAUACAGUGGGCUAUCCUGUAUCUAAUAAUUAGCCAAUAGCUAUUUGGUUUCUAUAUUCAGUCCUACAGUUUAUUAUCAUUAUAUCAUAAUGUUUAUUUGAGAGAAUCAUUUCAAGUUGGGUGGCACAUAAAGUCGUUAUGUAUAUUCUCUCAUUGUUACUCUGUGAUGCAGUUUUUAAAUCUUUAUAGUGUAAUAUUUAAAUUGAUUUGUAAUUCAUCAUUACAUUUCCUAUAAUGUCCCACAUUCCGUAUACCAGUAUACAAAACUAGUACUAGUAGAAUUCUUUACGUAGCAGAUAAUUUCAUUUUUGUAUACACAGCCCUGCAGUUACAUUUUGUAUUGGGAUACAUGGGGGCAAGCUCUUUAUGGUCUUUUACCAUAUAUUUAGUCUGGUUAAGUUUUUAACUCCUAAACUGCUAUUUAUGGGCGCAGUGUUUCACCAAAAGAUUCUUGGCAUAUUUUUCUUGGUUUAUUUCCCUGGGGUAUUGA